UCUGCAAGGAAAGAGGCUGUUGGGGCAGGAGUAAGGUGACAAGGCAGGACACAAGUGAGAAGCAGGCAAGUCUUUCCUUGCCAGACUUGGAUCAGUCACUCACACCUUAGUAUGAAUAAGUUCCAAGUUAUUUUUUUCCAGACCUCCACAAUGGCCAGAAUCACACUACACCGUUCCCUCAGCAGCCCUAGGACUACCCAGUUCCCAUGAACCUGACAUCUGCCUCUUCAAAAGAACUGGAACACCCAGAAGGAGGGAUGGGUCUUCACAUCCCUUGCCAGCUCUGAGGCAUGACCCAGGGACCCAAGGACCCCAACAGGAUCCAGGACACCCUGUGUGGCCAGGACAGGUAUCAGAUACAGACGAGAUGGAAGGUGCCCUUCCCACAUCCCUGCUGGGCAAAUUCCAAAGAUCCUUUAAAGAGUCAGCUCAAAUGUCACCAACUCCAGAGAAGUUUUCCCUGAUCCUCCCCACCUGUGUCCAGAUUAAGUGUCCUCCCCAGUCCCAAAGCUACCGGCAUGUCCCCUCAGAGCCUCAUCACACUGCUGUGUUUUCAUCUCUGUGAGGUCUUUGGGGACAGGAGCAUAUCCGUCUUCAUCACCCCCAGUCCCCUGUACAGAGCCGGCCACAGAGUGGCAGGCAGCUCAGUAAAUGGGUGCCUGGUAAACAUCUCCCCCAUGGGGUUCCCCCAUCACUUUGAAUUUCCAUCUCUGUAAGCCACAUUAUGUUCCAGGGUUUCUUUUUCUUGAAGCCACAAAGCCCAUCAAAUGAAAGUUAGUGAGAGCAGAGCUGCCUGGUUGAAGCCAGGAAGCCUCCCACCCUCCCCUUCAACCCCCAGGGCAGCCCCCAGGGUGCCUCAGAGGAACCCAGUUUGAAAACUGAAUAAAAGGUUCUGUAGCUUUGUUAAAACCAAA